rnacentral:rRNA from 1 species
ACCUGCCCAUUGAGAUUUGAAAGGCCGCGGUAUUAUGACCGUGCUAAGGUAGCAUAAUCAUUAGUCUUUUAAUUGGAGGCUGGAAUGAAUGGUCGGACAAGAGAUAAGCUGUCUUAAGUAAAAAUAUUGAAUUUAACUUUUAAGUGAAAAGGCUUAAAUCUUCUAGGGGGACGAUAAGACCCUAUAAAACUUUAUAUUUUGAAAUAAUAAUUAAUUUUGUGUGGGAGGUUUAUUUUUAAGUAUUUUAUUGGGGUGAUAAGGAUAAAAUAAUAAGUAACUGUCUUUUUUUUUAUUACAAUAAUAUUUGAGCAAAUGAACCUAGUAAGGGAAAGAAGAUUAAGUUACUUUAGGGAUAACAGCGUAAUUUUUUUUAAGAGUUCUUAUCAACAAGAAAGUUUGCGACCUCGAUGUUGAAUUAAAAAUUCUUUAUAGAGCAGAAACUAUAAAAGAAGGUCUGUUCGACCUUUAAAAUUUUAC